GACCUAGUGGUGUAGUGGGAACACAUUCCACUCCACACCUAUCACUAUGACAGGUGAUGGGUUUGCUUGGACAGACGUGGGUUUGAAUCCCACCUGGGUCA